CCUACGGGGGGCAGCAGUGGGGGAUAUUGCACAAUGGGGGGAACCCUGAUGCAGCGACGCCGCGUGGGUGAAGAAGCGCCUCGGCGCGUAAAGCCCUGUCAGCAGGGAAGAAAAUGACGGUACCUGAAGAAGAAGCCCCGGCUAACUACGUGCCAGCAGCCGCGGUAAUACGUAGGGGGCAAGCGUUAUCCGGAUUUACUGGGUGUAAAGGGGGCGCAGACGGGGAUGCAAGCCCGGAGGGAAAGCCCGGGGCUCAACCCCGGGACUGCUCUUGGAACUGCGUGGCUGGAGUGCAGGAGGGGCAGGCGGAAUGCCUGGUGGAGCGGUGAAAUGCGUAGAUAUCAGGAGGAACACCGGUGGCGAAGGCGGCCUGCUGGACUGCAACUGACGUUGAGGCCCGAAAGCGUGGGGAGCAAACAGGAUUAGAUACCCGUGUAGUC
rnacentral:rRNA from 1 species